UUUUCACUAAACCCGCUUUCUGAAACAGGCCUCAGGUGUCAUUCAAAUGAGAGUUGUGAAAGUCUGGCAGAAAAACAAUGACGUUUCCUUUACUAUAUGGAAGUCAUGGCUGACUUCAGGUCUUGGACACCAGGUCAUGUUGCCAGAAGAUAUGAAACUUCUUCUCUUGGGUGAGUUUCUGGCUUGCAAAUACAUGUGCAAUACAAGGCCUGUAAUCAGCUUCCUUUCCCAAAUAUCUUAUGCUCAUCUCAUACUUUUACCUACGUGGUUUAGUUACAUAACUCUGUGAAUGAGUUGGGCACUGUGGCUGUGUACAAAAGUAUAAUUAAUGUCUGGUUUCAUUUUAAAUUGUAUUAAUUCUGUUUAUUUGACAAUAAUUGUCUUCGGUGGGAUUUAAUUGAAAUAUUUAACAUGAAAUGUCAAUUUUAGAAUAUAUUUUGCUAAGCCAUGUUCAUUCUCUACAUCAAAUUGCUUAAUCUUUCUAUUCGAGCCUGCUCACAACUGUCAAUCUUGUUCCCUAAAGUCAAUUACUUUCAUUAAAAACGAUACUAAACUGCAUUUGAGGUAGCUGUAAGAUAUCACAUCCAGAUCUUGUCAUAUCACUUAUGAUCCCAGUGAAGAUGCAACAAAGCCAUUUAAGAGAGGAUGACUGAGCAGCAUUGGUAAUUUUUAGUUUAGUUGAAGCCCACACCUUUACAGUUGCUAUAUGAACAUCACACACUACUUCUUGCACUGGAACAAAAUGUUUGUUUUGUUUAUAAAUAUUUAUUACCCCAUGUUGAAACUGGUGAAAUACAACUUAUCAUACAGCUACUUUAUGAUUUCGCAACAUAUAUAAAAUAAAAGAAACAACCUAACUAUUGACUGGGAUUAUAUCAUGCAUUCAGUGAAAAAAGGCAGCAGUUCCAAUUGCUUUUGUAAAAGCACUACCAUUUUAAUGAAAUUCUAAUUUCCUUACUGUACUCUAGAUCCACAUAAUUGAAAACACAGAAAAAAUAGACUAUUUCUAAAUCCUUUCAAAAUCUAGCAAACAUUAGUUUGACAUUCUGAUGAAAUUGAUAAAUCUUGACUCAUCUGCUACUCUAAUUUGGGUGCUUUGGAAAUGUCUUACCUACUGUAUCCCAUUAACGUCAAUCAAUGGAUUAUAUAACAUUACGACAUGUCAGUGAUCAUUUCAAUUCAUCACAGACUUAAUCACAUGUUUUCUUUUUCUUUUUGUAAAUUUAGGGAGAUCUCAAAUGUCUCUCUCUAAACUGGGAAAAGAAGUUAAUCAAAUAAAGUGGUAUUGAGCAUAUCAA